CAUCUUGUGAUUCGGUGUUUCUAGAUCUACAAAUCUAUUCAAUCUCAGCUCAGACUUUCACAUCUCUCAGAUUUUCACAUAUCAGGUAACUUUACUGUCGGUUUUUCUUGCCUGAUCAAUUUAGAUCUACAAAUCUAUUCAAUCUCAGCUCAGCCCUUUACUAUGUCUCUGGUAACGAUUCUCAUUCUAAUGUGCAUCUCUGUUUUUAUUUGUUUGUUUAGAAUUUUACAUCUUGCUAAUAUUACCACUAAGGCUUCGGGAAAUUUAUGUUUAAAUUUCUUGUACAUAUAAAAUGAAGGAAAUUUUGAAUAAUCUGUAAGGCCAUAUCCUAAAUGUUAUUAUGAUUUUGGCAUGAAGAUGUUUGAUGAUCAUCAAUCGAUUUAAUCGAGUUGGCACUGCGAAAUUAAGUACUUCUACUAUAUAAUACAUGUAGUUCUUCUUAUAAUUUACAAUCAUAAGAUUGUUAAAAUUAAAAUAAUUAGACGUGAAUGAUUAUUAUCAAUUUAAUUUGCUUUUCACUAUUAUAUAUCAUAUCUAAUUUCAUUAUUUCAUGAUUUUUGCACAAAGAUGUACUGUAUAUAAUGAAAUCAACUUCAUGAUAGUUAAUUAAUUGGGUAACACUGGUAUUGUGAAAUGAGUAUACAUGCGUGUAGUCAUCUUUAUGCACAAUCAUCAUAUUUAUUACUACUAUUUUUUAAAAAUAAUUGGAGGUGAAUGACUAUUAUUAAUUUAAUUUGGUUUUUGCUACUAUAAUAUAUCAUAGAGUAUAUAAUUUCAUCUCAUGUUUUUUGGGUGAAAAUGUAGAGUACACAAUUAAAUCGACUUAAUAAUCAUUAAUUAGUUGGAUGAUACUAAGCAAUGAGAAAUUAAGUACAUCUACAAGUAGUCAUUUAUAUAAUUUACAAUCUUAAGAUUUGUGUAAAAAUAAAAUGAUUGGACGUGAAUGAACAUUGUCAAUUUAAUUUGUUUUUUCUCACUAUCAUGGAGUAUAUCAUAUUUAAGUUCAUUUCAUGGUUUUUGCAUGAAGAAGAUGUAGAGUAUAAAAUGAAAUUGAAUUAGUGAUCAUCUCAAUUAGUGGAGUGAUACUAGGCACUGAGAAAUUAAAUAUAUAUAGAGAGAGAGAGAGUCCUAUUAUCCAUAAAUUCAUUCUUAAAGACCGAACUAGAGACCAAAUUAGGGCCAUCCAUUUUCUUAAGCUUGUGGUUAUGAUUAAUUUACAAUUAAUUUAAUAUUUUAUUUAAUAAAACUUUUUUAUUUUAUUUUAUUUUUAUUUAUUUUUU